rnacentral:rRNA from 1 species
AUUGAACGCUGGCGGCAGGCCUAACACAUGCAAGUCGAACGAGUGGCGGACGGGUGAGUAAUGUCUGGGAAACUGCCCGAUGGAGGGGGAUAACUACUGGAAACGGUAGCUAAUACCGCAUACCAUCGGAUGUGCCCAGAUGGGAUUAGCUAGUAGGUGGGGUAACGGCUCACCUAGGCGACGAUCCCUAGCUGGUCUGAGAGGAUGACAAGCCACACUGGAACUGAAACACGGUCCGGACGCCUACGAGAGGCAGCAGUGUGGAAUAUUGGACAAUGGGCGCAAGCAUGAUGCAGCCAUGCCGCGUGUAUGAAGGAAGCCUUCGGGUUGUAAAGUACUUUCAGCGAGGAGGCGUUACUGGCAGAAGAAGCACCGGCUAACUCCGUGCCAGCAGCCACGGUAAUUC